rnacentral:rRNA from 1 species
CAGCAGUCGCCACGGGAAUACAGAGGGUGCGAGCGUUAAUCGGAUUUACUGGGCGUAAAGCGUGCGUAGGCGGCUAAUUGAGUCGGAUGUGAAAUCCCCGAGCUUAACUUGGGAAUUGCAUUCGAUACUGGUUAGCUAGAGUGUGGGAGAGGAUGGUAGAAUUCCAGGUGUAGCGGUGAAAUGCGUAGAGAUCUGGAGGAAUACCGAUGGCGAAGGCAGCCAUCUGGCCUAACACUGACGCUGAGGUACGAAAGCAUGGGGAGCAAACAGGAUUAGAUACCCCAGUAGUCCCUGUCUCUUAUAC